CCGCUGUGUUGACACGCUCUGCACCUUGCUCCUGCCCUCGCCUUUCACUCUUCUUAUCCCCCCGAUAUCCCGAUCAUUCCUGACAGCUCCUGAGUGCCUGGAUUUCAUCAUCCAGCCCUGCAGGAUGCUCCCAUUUGUCCUGAGGAAGGCUGUCCCAGAUGGAGAGGAGGAGAUGGAGGUGGAUACAGAGAUUGAUAGAGUGGAGGACAUGGAGACGGAGGGAGAAGGCACUGGAGAGAAGGAGAUGGAGGUGGAGGUGGAAGAGGAGAUGGAAUUGGAUAUGGAAGAGUCCAUUGAGGACAUGGACAUUGAUUGAAAAGGGACAGGCAGCAUUUUGCAAAGUUGUGCUUUCCACUUGCUCCAGGUUCCCAGGGCUGGAGGUCCCUGGCACAGCCUCCCCAGGAGUGGGGGUCCCUGUGCACAGAGCGGUCCCACUGACAGAGCAUGGAUCCAGGGUCUGUGGAGGCACCAGUUUCUUGCCUGUGGAAUGUUCUACCUCCCCCAAGAGGAAAGUGGCAGCUGGAGGAAGAGCUUGCCAGGCUGCUCUCGAUCCUUUAGCAGCAGCCCUGGCUGAGUGGAGAAGUCCCAGUCGAGCGCAAAUGUGCCAAGGGAACAGCCGUGCACAGGAAGGCU